rnacentral:rRNA from 1 species
AUAUAGAUUAAGUUAUUAAGGGCGCACGGUGGAUACCUUGGCACUAGAAGCCGAUGAAGGACGUUACUAACGACGAUAUGCUUUGGGGAGCUGUAAGUAAGCUUUGAUCCAGAGAUUUCCGAAUGGGGAAACCCAGCACGAGUUAUGUCGUGUUAUCUGCAU